UGGGGGAUAUUGCACAAUGGGCGAAAGCCUGAUGCAGCGACGCCGCGUGGGGGAUGAAGGCCUUCGGGUUGUAAACUUCUUUUGCUCUGAACAAGGCGCACCAUGGGGUGUGUUGAGUGUAGGGGUUGAUUAGCGCCGGCUAACUACGUGCCAGCAGCCGCGGUAAUACGUAGGGCGCGAGCGUUGUCCGGAAGUAUUGGGCGUAAAGGGCGUGUAGGUGGCUGGUUGCGUCUGUCGUGAAAGCUCAUGGCUUAACUGUGGGUUUGCGGUGGGUACGGGCUGGCUUGAGUGCAGUAGGGGAGGCUGGAGUUCCUGGUGUAGCGGGGGGAUGCGCAGAUAUCAGGAGGAAUACCGGUGGCGAAGGCGGGUCUCUGGGCUGUUACUGACACUGAGGAGCGAAAGCAUGGGGAGCGAACAGG
rnacentral:rRNA from 1 species